GGGCACCGAGCGGGUGUAGCGAUGGAGCUGAGAAGCGCGCGGGUCAAACGGGAGUAGUAAGGCGAACCCAAAGGCACGGGGAUGGGGCAGGACCGAGCGGUGCGGUGCGUUCCCCAGACCGGAGCGUGGGCUCCCGGGCCGUGCCGCGUCGUGCAGCCCGCGAGCUUUCUGUGCGUGAGCGCUGCGCUCGGGCCGCCGUUCGGGCGGGCACGUGUUACGAAGUUGUUCGUUUCGGUGGCUGAGGAAAUGCAGAACCGCUCCUCGUUGCUGCGCUCCUGCGCUCAUCACCCCACGCAGCCCGUCCGCGCUCUUUGCUUCGGUUUCCUGUUGGCCCCCCUCCAGCGGGCCCCCACCUCUCUGUCCCACGUAACAGGGCGUUCCAGCUACAGUACACACGGCGCAGGCUGCUCCCUGGACCUUGGCACCCGCGCUGGGGGUGACGCAGAGGUGCAGCCGUCGCAUCUGCCCUACCGUGCCUUGCGCAGAGCGUGCCCUGCUCCCCAGCCCUGGUGUGCCCCGCUCGGUGCUUAGGGUGACCCGUCGCAAGGUCAGCCCUUACGGAGUGACGGACAAAUCAGCGUCUGAGAGAUAAAACGAGGAAGCUUUUGCUAGGUUCUGUUCUUAGAGAAAGCGGUAAGAACAAAUCUAGCUUCUUUUUCCAGCUUUCCCCAGGAUGUGAAUGUUACCUAUCUGAGAAAUGGGCUGUGUUAGGCAUCAGUCUCACAGCUGAAGCAACCGCUCCUUCAUCUGCUAGCAUAAGCUAAGGAGUAAUGCAUAAAGACAUCAAACGUGCUGCUGGGCAGCGGCUGCAUGCUUGCCCAGUAAAGGAGAGAAGUAGCUCCUUUCCAUUUCCAUGAUCUGCAGUCAGGAACCUAAAGCAAGACCCGCAGGGGCCUGAUUCACAUCCCACACCAGCUGAACACUGCAGGUCUCCGCUCCCUUCAGUGCCGUUACACCCAGAGCAAUUAGCUGUGAGGUUAGAAACUCAUUUUGAAGUCAAGUGUCUGAUUUUCUUGUGUUAAGGUGUCGGAAUAUUGGUCUAUCAUUAGGAGCACAGCCUGGGGAAAGACUGCUUUUGAAGUUAUGACGUGUGCAGCGAGACCUGAGGAAUGGCCGUGGUUUCAAGCUUUCGUUAAUCUGUUUCUCAUUGCUGCCUAUGCCUUCAUUUUACUUUGGUGAAAACAAAGGUUGUGAGGAUCGGCGGAGGCGAAGGGGCUGAGCAGCACACAUGGGAGGAUAGCAGUGAAUCAUCGCAGAGCCAGAGGAACCAACAGCGAGGCUGGUGUGACACAUAGCAGUGGAUUGAAACUGUCAUUAGCUUCAUCUUGCAUGUCGGGCUCUCGUUAUCGGGCUCAAUAAGCUGAGGACACAGAGUGGGUUUUACCAAAGCUUGUUCUACUCAGCGGGCACUGCCUGGGGAUGGGAAGACUGCUGUUCAUUUUCAGAUGCCACGUCUUCCACCAUCAGCUCGGCACCGCUUCCCUCUAUCUACAGUGAGCAAACAAAGAGAUGCUAAAGAACACACCUGCCCCUUUUCCUUAAGGCUUCAGUGAAGAUAACAGCGAUUGUGAAGUUCAAGCAAUGCCACAAAAAUUUUCUAGUGAUGUAAAUCAAUAAGCAUUCCGCUGAUAUCUAC